UUUGUCUUUUUUUUUUGCAGUUAACUUGCAUAAAGCACUAUUGAUUACAUUUAAAAUUUGCAUAUUGACCCAAUGUUAGAAAAAUGUGUACAGUUGUCAUUUUUUUAUUUGUAUUACGAAAUGUUUCCUAAUAUUUAAUUUAUUUAUUA